GGACUGAUAACUCUGUGGAGCAGACAGAUGAUCAUGUGACUUAUGCUGAGGUCAUACACAGUAAAAACCAAGACCAAAAGAAGAAGGUUCGCUGUGAUGAUAAAGUGACUUAUGCUUCCAUCAGAGGAGCGACAGCUGGUGCUCAGGAAAACUACAGUGAACUUUAUGCCUCUGUGAACAAGAUCCAUCACAAAUCACAUGAGCAGAAGAAUAAUGAACUUUGUAUAAUUAACUUCUAAUGGUUUUAUUCAUUGUACAUACUUUUAAUGUCUUUUAUAUUUUAAGAAACAAACCACCCACAAAAGUGGAGCUCUGAUUUAUCUGUAGUUAUUAUUGGUAUUUUGGUCAGUUUGAUGUUUUAUAGUAUCUGUCUGCUUGUUGGUCAGUCAAUUCUAAUGCCUUUAUUAUUAAUUCAGGGUCUGCAGGAUAGAAAAUAGAGGACAGUUUUACUGACGUAGAUGAUUCUCAUUAAAUCGUGUAUUUUCUCGAGCAGCUUAUCACAGUAUGACAGGAAUGAUAAUUUGGUAUUUGAACCAUUUGAGCAGCUGCUUUCAGCAAUGCUUGUAGUAUUAUAUUUGUCAAUAACAAAAUAGCCUGUCAAAUGUGUGUAUUUAUAGUGAAAUAUAUUUUUCAUCAGUACACAUAUUUUCUUGUGCAGACUCUGUAGACGUGAAACGUGACCUCCUGAGGAUCCUUUGAUUGCAGUGUUUCCUAAUCUGGGGGUCGCUAAAGAUUGACGAGGGGUCGUCAAGCUCACUCUAGCUUGAGGGUUUGGGAUGAAACGGUUUCUAUGGGGUUUGGGAUGAAACGGUUUCCAUAGAAACUACCUUUUAGCUAGUUGUCUAAAGGUGUGUUCACACCAGACGCGAAUGAAGUGUUAAGCGUGAGUGAUUUACAUGUUAAGUCAAUGCAAAGAAGCAAAUAGACAUCCGGCGGCGCUAAUGAAGCGAUUCACGCGAAUGAUGCAGAACGAAUUGAGCAUUUCAGGCGUUUGACGCGCGAAACGUGCAAGUUGAAAAAAACUGAACUUUGGCGAAAAUUCGCGCCGCGUUAACCAAUUAGGAGCUUGCUCUUGUGACGUGACGUAACGAGCUGAGGCAGAAAUCCGAAACAACAAUGGAGGACAAAAUCACCGUCGCUGUACAUCUUCAUAUUUUUGUAGAAACAGGAAUAAAAAGAG